AGGGGAAUUGAAACAUCUUAGUACCCUCAGGAAAAGAAAUCAAUAGAGAUUGCGUCAGUAGCGGCGAGCGAAAGCGCAAGAGGGCAAACCCAGUGCUUGCACUGGGGGUUGUAGGACUGCAAUGUGCAAGAGCUGAGUUUAGCAGAACAUUCUGGAAAGUAUAGCCAUAGAGGGUGAUAGUCCCGUAUGCGAAAAACAAAGCUUAGCUAGCAGUAUCCUGAGUAGGGCGGGACACGAGGAAUCCUGUCUGAAUCCGGGUCGACCACGAUCCAACCCUAAAUACUAAUACCAGAUCGAUAGUGCACAAGUACCGUGAGGGAAAGGUGAAAAGAACUGAGGUGAUCAGAGUGAAAUAGAACCUGAAACCAUUUGCUUACAAUCAUUCAGAGCACUAUGUAGCAAUACAGUGUGAUGGACUGCCUUUUGCAUAAUGAGCCUGCGAGUUGUGGUGUCUGGCAAGGUUAAGCAAACGCGAAGCCGUAGCGAAAGCGAGUCUGAAUAGGGCGCUUAGUCAGAUGCUGCAGACCCGAAACGAAGUGAUCUAUCCAUGAGCAAGUUGAAGCUAGUGUAAGAACUAGUGGAGGACUGAACCCAUAGGCGUUGAAAAGCCCCGGGAUGACUUGUGGAUAGGGGUGAAAGGCCAAUCAAACUUCGUGAUAGCUGGUUCUCUCCGAAAUAUAUUUAGGUAUAGCGUUGUGUCGUAAUAUAAGGGGGUAGAGCACUGAAUGGGCUAGGGCAUACACCAAUGUACCAAACCCUAUCAAACUCCGAAUACCUUAUAUGUAAUCACAGCAGUCAGGCGGCGAGUGAUAAAAUCCGUCGUCAAGAGGGAAACAACCCAGACUACCAGCUAAGGUCCCUAAAUCUUACUUAAGUGGAAAACGAUGUGAAGUUACUUAAACAACCAGGAGGUUGGCUUAGAAGCAGCCAUCCUUUAAAGAAAGCGUAAUAGCUCACUGGUCUAGUGAUUUUGCGCGGAAAAU
rnacentral:rRNA from 1 species